rnacentral:tRNA from 1 species
UAAAACUUUAAGUUAUAUAAACUAAUAAUCUUCAAAAUUAUAAAAAAAAUUUUUUUAAGUUUUA